rnacentral:rRNA from 1 species
GCUUGUCUCAAAGAUUAAGCCAUGCAUGUCUCAGUAUAAGCUUGUGCAUAGUGAAACUGCGAACGGCUCAUUAUAACAGUUAUAAUUUGUUUGGUGUUCAAGUUUACAUGGGUAACUGUGGCAAUUCUAGAGCUAAUACAUGCACCAAGCGCGCUUUUACGAGCGCGUGUAUUUAUUAGAUACAAUCAACCCUUCGGGUUUUGAUGAGUCAUAAUAACUGAACUAAGCGCAUGCUUUGGCGGCGCUGUUUCAUUCAAGUUUCUGCCCUAUCAGCUUUCGAUGGUAGGGUAUUGGCCUACCAUGGCGUUCACGGGUAACGGAGAAUUAGGGUUCGAUUCCGGAGAGGGAGCCUGAGAGAUGGCUACCACAUCCAAGGAAGGCAGCAGG